GUAAGAUUUGAGGAACCCUGCACUAGGAUCUAGUUGUUGUUUCUUCAUAAGAUGCUUAAUAACCGCCAGCUUGAAAGGUUUUAGGUUGUGACCUGCGACAAGUUAAUAAUAUUGAAAAGUGGUUCUUCUACAGACUGUAAGCCACAGAGCAGCAGUUCAAUAAUGAAGUCUGCUGAGGAAUGUCCUACUACAGAGUGAUAGUGCUGAAAUCCUCCUGGAGACCGAGCAAUGAUCACACCGACAGCUUAGGUACAAUUUUUCAGCCACCAAUUCUUGCCUCUGCGCCUGUGGGAGCGAUGCUCAGUGGUGGUGUGGCUGAGGUAGGCCUCGCUUUAUUCCCAACAGCCGAUCCCUGGUCUGGGAGUUUGGGAUCUACGGAUGAAAUAACCCUUCUGAAUUUCCAAGUCAAAGAAUUAGUAUUCUUGCUUUGUGGUCUGGGAGUUACUUAAAGGAAAUUUAAAUUUGAGCUUAAAACACUGUGUUGGCUGUCAGCUUUUCAGCUUCAGAUUUACAUAUGAAAAAGAGGACAUAAUCAGAAAGGAUGGUAUGCACUGCUGGGAAAUUGUGUUAGAUGUGUGGUGCAGGGUAGUUUUCAGAAAGGUUGUGCCUGUCAGAUUAUUAGAUAAAUUGUGAAUUAAUCUGCAUGUUACUUGGAGUUUAGUACAAAGAUUUUGUGUGAAUCUAGACUGGUUGUUCCUUGCACCACUGUCAGACGGUUUCGUUAUUUAUUUAUUUUUUUACAUGGAAUUAUAAAAUGUAAAGUCCUGAUCUUGGAUGCUUAUUCCAGAUGUGUUCGAAUCCAUUCCACAAUGUAAUCAUUUGGGUCUUUUCAUAGACAUCUCAAGGUUACAUUGUAUUCUAAGUAAUGCCAAUAUUUCAGCUAGACAUUCAUUUUAUACCAUCUUUCCUACUGCACUUAUAUUUGUUCAACACAAAGUUUAAAUAAAAUAUCAGACUUGACAAAUAACAACAUAAGAAUCUUACAGUAUACACUGCAAAAAUAUUUUUAAUCAGUAUUACUCUCAUGUUUUCCAAUAAAAUAGUGAAACAUUUACUUUGUGAUAAAUAUUUUAGAAUACAUU
ensembl:lncRNA